GAUGCAUUCUAUUGCUCUAGAAAUAGAACAUCCUACAGAUGAAUGAAACCAGUACCUUUGGGCUGGGCUUGAAAAAAAGUGCAGCAAGUGUAUCUCUAAAAGUAUUUGUUUGAGGUCAAGUUGUGGAGUACAUCCUAGCACUCUUGGACUAAAAGAGCAUUCAGAUUAAUGGGAAAAUCUCCUUUUUGAGUAACAGGCAAGACUUGGGAGCUAGUUAUCAAGAACUGUGCAAUAAAGUUACAGAUCACAUCAGAUUGCUAUUCCAUACAACGUACAGAUGAAUGGACCCAUUAUCUACUUGGAACAGUCAAAUUAUAGAAGCUUCUUGUCCACAAGUUGUUUUUUGUCUUAAAG